rnacentral:lncRNA from 1 species
AAAUACAAAACAAUGACUCAGAGAUAAAGAAGAACCCAACAACAACAACAGCAACAAAAAUGGAACUUGUACAAAUCUUAAUCCUCUCUUCUCUCUUAUUCUUGAUCUCCGUCAGAUUCUUGCUCACAAGAUCCAAACGGAAGCUGAACCUUCCUCCGUCUCCGGCGAUAUCUUUGCCGUUUAUCGGCCACCUUCACCUCCUCAAGCCACCAAUCCACCGAAUAUUCCUUUCACUCUCAAAAUCCAUCGGAAAUGCUCCGAUCUUUCACCUCCGCCUUGGAAACCGCCUCGUUUAUGUCAUCUCGUCACGUCCCAUGGCCGAAGAAUGUUUCACUGAGAACGACGUCGUUCUCGCGGACCGUCCCAAGUUCAUCUUGAGCAAGCACGUUUUCUACAACUCCACUCAUUUAGCCUCAGCAUCUUACGGCGACCACUGGAGGAAUCUCCGCCGCAUCGCCGCCAUAGAGAUAUUCUCGACUCAGAGACUUAAUUCGUUUUUAUUUAUCCGUAAGGACGAGAUCCGACGGCUCAUCUCACGGCUUUCCCGUGACUCUUUACAAGUAUACGACCUCUCUUUAUUCAUUUUUAAUUUAUUUUUAACUGACGUUUUUUUUUUAUAUGUAUUAAUUCUGGAUGGUACAACAUUACUUAUACUGUUAUACACCAGUAGGCUAGAUUUAUCUUGGUCAACUAGUUUUCUUUUCACUCGAAGACGUUAAGUUAAGUUAUUUUUUCAUGUGCUUAAGGCGUUUACUUUUCCAAGAAGAAAAUAAGUUUUUCCAAGGCGUAUAUAUGAAAGCCAUUAUUUUCGAACGUCUCAACUCAUCACAUUAUAUACAUAGUCUAUACACAUAAAACGUAACUCUAACUUAUACUGAUGAUCAAGUUUAGGUUCUAAUUCUUGUUUGAAAUUGGUAAAAUAUAUGGUUUUAGCUCUUAUUGUUUUAAAUUGUAAUGGUAUAUAUUUCCACCAGGGAUUUGUGGAGGUGGAGAUGAAAUCAUUAUUAACCGAUUUGGCAUCCAACAACGUCAUCAGAAUGGUGGCCGGGAAGCGAUACUACGGUGAGGAUAGCGACGAAGCUAAAGUCGUGAGGCAACUUGUGGCGGAGGUGGUGACCAGCAACGGUGCUGGAAACCCAGCUGAUUAUCUUUCGGUUUUACGUUGGCUAACCAAUUACGAGAAGCGAAUCAAGAAUCUAGGGAACCGUUUUGAUGCGUUUUUACAGAGAAUUGUCGACGAGAAACGUGCAGAGAAAGAAAAAGGUCAAACUAUGAUCGAUCACUUGCUUUCUCACCAAGAAACCCAACCCGAAUACUAUACAGAUGUCAUUAUCAAAGGACUCAUACUCGUAAGUAUUCCAUUCAUUCAAUAAGCAAAAUAUACAUACAUAAAAGUUUAUUAACAACCAAUGUGUGCAGAGUCUGAUACUUGCAGGGACAGACACCUCAGCGGUGACAAUAGAAUGGGCAAUGUCGAAUUUGUUGAACCAUCCACAAGUACUUAAAAAGGCGAGAACCGAGAUCGAUGAGAAAAUUGGUUUUGACCGGUUCGUAGAGGAAUCGGACAUUGUGAAUCUCCCUUAUCUCCAAAACAUUGUCUCGGAGACAUUACGUUUGUACCCUUCGGUUCCGCUACUACUACCUCAUUUGUCAUCGAAAGAUUGUAAAGUGGCGGGAUAUGAUAUCCCACGUGGUACGAUGCUGUUGACUAACGUGUGGGCUAUGCAUAGAGAUCCAGAGUUAUGGGAAGAUCCAGAGAUGUUCAAGCCAGAAAGAUUUGAAAAGGAAGGAGAGGCUGAGAAGCUAAUGCCAUUUGGGAUGGGUCGAAGAGCUUGUCCUGGAGAAGUUCUUGCUCAACGUUUAGUGAGUCUGGUUCUUGGAACUUUGGUUCAAUGUUUCGAGUGGGAAAGGGUUAGUGAGGAACUUGUGGACAUGACCGAAGAGAAAGGAAUCACGCUGCCUAAACUAGUGCCUUUGCGAACCAUGUGCAAAGCACGCUCCAUUGUUGGUAAACUGAUAUAGUGCUUGUCUUAAGAAGUGUAUUUGUUUGCUUUAUCAACACAAACAAAAAAGAAGUGUAUUUGUUUUUUGUUUUUGUCUUUGUUUUUGUUUUUACUUAAGAAACAUGUAUUAAUUUGUUUAAAUGGCAACUUUUUUAUGUGUUUAUUUGUUUGGGUCGUCAUGCGAAUAUUUUGCUGCAACUUUCACGAUCUUGUUUGAUAUCGGCUUCAUGGUCACUACUCACUAGGUCAAAUAUCAAUUUAAUACAGUGAAUCUCAAGCUACCACAUAUAAAAAAUGCUAUAAAUAUAUAUAAUUGCCAAACCAUAUAAUAAAAAUUUGCGAUAGUCAACUGUACAAUAUAUAGUACUAUAAUAUAUGGCUGUGUCAGUCAACUGUAGCAUUACUAGAGCCAUGGAACUCGCAAAAGAAAACCAUUACACUGAACUACUAACUAUGUUUGGUUUGAAGUCCUGUAUGGAGUUGAUAAAAUGAUCAAAAAAAGGAAAAGAAACAAUAAUUAUAAAGUCUAUAAAAACAAUAUAAGUCUCCAAAAUCCAUAAAAACAAUAUAAUUCGACAGUAGACCAAAAUACGAACAAACAGAUAUAUGUGUAAAAUUUCUCCAAUGCUAAUGAUGACCAUAACGAUCAGUCCAGUGGAAAGCACCGAUCGAUGCUGGUGAAAAGAUUGUAAAAUAGGUAGCUCAAAUUCAGCCAAUUAUUAAUCUAAGAACUUAUGAAAACAGCAGAUUAUUAUAGAACUCGGAAACAAUUUGCUUGUUUAUCAAUUAACCAUGUAGGCUCCAUCGUAAUUAAGGAUCCAAAACCAUGAAGUUUUUCAAAGGCGUGAAGUUUUCGAGAGCCAUGUCAACCACGGCAAUCGCCACGCCUGGAAUUUUUCAACGUAUUCGCCGAAUGUGUACACUGUACUGUUUCGCGGAUCAGACCGCAAACUCGCAGACCUUAUUGGGUUGGGCCGUGGAUCCUCGGCCCGGUUAGCAUCUCUACCACCUACUGUAGUUAAAUUUAAAAAUCUCUACCACCUACUGUAGUUAAAUUUAAAAAUCGCCAAUAAUAAUACAUCACACGCCACAGCUAAUGUGUCAAUAUCAAAAACAACAAAUACAAAACAAUGACUCAUGGAUAUUUGUAAAUUUAAGCUGGAGAGAAGAAUAAUCAAUCACAAAACUGAAAAAAAGACUCAGAGAUAAAGAAAAGAACUCUACAAGUCAAGCAUAGGUUUCAGUUUGUGUUGAAAAAUGUUUUAAAUAAAAAUUGUAGAAAACAUGUAUUUUUCUUUUGAAUAUAAUUUAACAUUGUAUUUUUUUUUUUUUUUAAAAGAAUGCCUCAGAGAUAAAGAAGAACCCAACAACAAAUAUAAAAGAAUGACUCCGAGAUAAAAGAAGAACACAACAACAACAACAAAAAUGGAACUUAUACAAAUCUUAAUACUCUCUUCUCUCUCUCUCUUGAUCUCCGUCAGAUUCUUGCUCACAAGAUCCAAACGGAAGCUGAACCUUCCUCCGUCUCCGGCGAUAUCUUUGCCGUUCAUCGGCCACCUUCACCUCCUCAAGCCACCGAUCCACCGAACUUUCCUUUCACUCUCAAAAUCCAUCGGAAUUGCUCCGAUCUUCCACCUCCGCCUCGGAAACCGCCUCGUUUAUGUCAUCUCUUCACGUCCCAUGGCCGAAGAAUGUUUCACUGAGAACGACGUCGUUCUCGCGGACCGUCCCAAGUUCAUCUUGAGCAAGCACGUCGGCUACGACGCCACUCAUUUACUCUCAGCAUCUUACGGCGACCACUGGAGGAAUCUCCGUCGUAUCGCCGCCAUAGAGAUAUUCUCGACUCAGAGACUUAAUUCCUCUUUGUUUAUCCGUAAGGACGAGAUCCAACGGCUCAUAUCACGGCUUUCCCGAGAUUCUUUACACGUAAGACCUUUUUUUUUUAAUGACCCCCUUUUUUAUAGAUAUAUAUAUUGAUUCCUUUUUUAUGCUUAUUUUUUUUAAUGACCCCCUUCUAUUUCUUCUAUUUAUAUGUAAAUAAUCAUACAUUUAUGGGAUUGAUAGUUAUAAUUUUUUUGUUUUUAUAAAUACUGUAUGUACUUUGCGAUAAUUUUUUUGGUUUUUAUAAAUACUGUAUAUACAGUGCGACAAUGCUUGUGAUUGACUUUGAAUUUUGGAUGGUACAACAUUACUUAUACACAACUAGGUUUAUCUUUGUCAACUAGCUUUCUUUUCACGGGAAAACGUUUAUUUAAGUAGUAUUAUUCAUGUGCUUAGUUUACUUUUCCAAGAAGAUAUUAAAAUAAGUUUUCCCAAUGUGUAUAUAUGAUAGCCAUUAUUUUCGAAAGUCUUCAUCACAAUAUACAUAGUCUAUACACAUAUAUUCCGAAGAAAAAAAACGUAUAUAAAACGUAACUCUAACUUAUAUUGAUGAUCAAAAUUAGGUUCUAAUUGUUUUAAAAUGGUAAGAUAUUUGGUUUUAGUUCUAAUUGUUUGAAAUUGGAAUGGCAUCUCCACCUGCAGGGAUUUGUGGAGGUGGAGAUGAAAACAUUAUUAACCAAUUUGGCAUCCAACAACGUCAUGAGAAUGGUGGCUGGGAAGCGAUACUACGGUGAGGAUAGCGACGAAGCUAAAGUCGUGAGGCAACUUGUGUCGGAGGUGGUGACCAGCGCCGGUGCUGGGAACCCAGCUGAUUAUCUUUCGGUUUUACGUUGGCUCACAAAUUACGAGAAGCGAAUCAAGAAUCUAGGAAAUCGUUUUGAUGCGUUUUUACAGAGAAUUGUUGACGAGAAACGUGCAGAAAAAGAAAAAGGUCAAACUAUGAUCGAUCACUUGCUUACUCUCCAAGAAACCCAACCCGAAAACCAUACGGAUGUCAUCAUCAAAGGACUCAUACUCGUAAGUAUUCCAUUCAUUCAAUAAGAAAAAUAAACUGUAUACAUACAUAAAGUUUAUAUUAACAACCAAUAUGUGCAGACUCUGGUACUUGCAGGGACAGACACCUCAGCGGUGACAACAGAAUGGGCAAUGUCCAAUUUGUUGAACCAUCCACAAGUACUUAAAAAGGCGAGAACCGAGAUCGAUGAGAAAAUUGGUUUUGACCGGUUAGUAGACGAACCGGACAUUGUGAAUCUCCCUUAUCUCCAAAACAUUGUCUCGGAGACACUACGUUUGUACCCUGCGGUUCCGCUACUACUACCUCAUAUGUCAUCGAAAGAUUGUAGAGUGGCGGGAUAUGAUAUCCCACGUGGUACGAUGGUAUUGACUAACGUGUGGGCUAUGCAUAGAGAUCCAGAGUUAUGGGAAGAUCCAGAGAUGUUCAAGCCAGAGAGAUUUGAAAAGGAAGGAGAGGCUGAGAAGCUAAUGCCAUUUGGGUUGGGUCGAAGAGCUUGUCCUGGAGCAGGGCUUGCUCAACGGUUAGUGAGUCUGGUUCUUGCAACUUUGAUUCAAUGUUUCGAGUGGGAAAGGUUUGGUGAGGAACUUGUGGACAUGACCGAAGAGAACGGAGUCACGCUGCCUAAACUAGUGCCUUUGCGAACCAUGUGUAAAGCACGUUCCAUUGUGGGUAAACUGAUAUCUUGCUCGUCUUAAGAAGUGUAUUUUUUUGUUUUAUUUACUUAAUAAACAUGUAUUGAUUGACAACUUUUUUAUGUGUUUAUUUGUUUGGGUCGUCAGGCGAGUAGUUUGCUGUAACUUUCACAAUCUUGUUUGAUAUCGGCUUAAUGGGCACAAGGUCAAAUAUCAUUUUAAUACAGUGAAUCUCUCAAGCUAUCACAUAUAAAAAAUGUUAUAAAAAUAAUUGCCGAACCAUAAAAUAAAAAUUUGCGAUAGUCAACUGUAAAUAUAUAGUACUAUAACAUAUGGUUGUGUUAGUCAAAGCAUUACUAGAGCCAUGGAACUCGCAAAAGAAAUCCAUUACACAGAACUACUAUCUAAGUUUUGUUUGAUAAAAUGAUAAAAAAAGGAAAAGAAACACCAAUAAUUAAAAUUUAGAAUAAUUAAUUUCCUUUGAAACUCAGCCCCUCUAAGUCGUUAGAAGAGGAAUAUUUUAGAUAUUUAAUACAAGUAUUACUUGUUUAGCAAUAUUUGAGAUAUUUUAGACAAGUAUAUGUAGUACUUGUUUAUCCUAGUUUUUGUAUUUGACUUGUUUUCAAUUGUCGUGUUCGUUUAGCGUAGACCAUAGAGUAAUAAAAGAAGAGCGAAAAUUAAUGCUGGAUACAAUUACUAAUUAUAAAACUACUUUCUCCCAAAAUUUUCAUAUAAUUAUAGUGAAAUUUAUAAGGGUGUUUAUAACGGUUUCUUUACUUUUCACAUUUAAUGAAAAAGUACUAAAACUCGUUUGUGUUUUUAGUUGUUUGCUUCUAAUUCUUUUAGAUAUCAGAUUUUUUUUUAAUCUAAAUUCAAAAUUUACAAAAAAAAAAAUUAUUAAACAGAUUUUUAGUUGUAGAAUCAGUAGUUGAUUAUCGUUUUCUUUAAGAAAACAGAGUACCCACCCGGUCCAAUCUCCCACAGAGCUACGCAACAAAAUACAAAAAAGGAAAGAAACCUCCAAAACAAACAAGCAACCAGUAUACAAAACCGAAAAUGGACUUCACCCAAAUUUUACUUCUUAUCUCCUUUAUCUUUAUCUUCAUCUCCAUCAAAUUCUUCUUCACAAAAUCAAACGGGAAGCUGAAUCUUCCUCCUUCUCCGGCUUACUCUUUACCGGUUAUCGGCCACCUCCACCUCCUCAAGAACCCUAUCCACCGAACAUUCCUCUCCCUUUCUCAGUCCCUCGGGAAUACUCCGAUCUUCCACCUCCGCUUCGGAAACCGACUCGUUUACGUCAUCUCCUCGCAUUCCAUAGCCGAAGAAUGCUUCACCAGAAACGACGCGUUCUUGCGAACCGACCCGAGGUCAUCAUGGGCAAACACAUCGCCUACGACUCCACCAUCAUGAUUACAGCAUCUUACGGCGAUCACUGGAGGAAUCUCCGCCGUAUCGCCGCCGUCGAGAUAUUCUCUUCUCAGAGGAUCAGUACGUUUAUGUCCGUCCGUAAAGACGAGAUCCGACAGCUCAUAACGCACCUCUCGAGAAACUCCCUACACGUAAAUCAUUUUUUUAUUUAUUCAUUGAUUGAUUUUUAUAUUCGUGGUAGACAUAAUAUAAGUAGAGCAAAUUCUUUCUUUACGUUGUGUGGCGUUGUAUUCGUCACCUAUUUACUCCAUUUCCAUGUUGACACCUAGCCGAGUAGGUAUUUUCCAGCCUUCCGUAUCGUGCAUAUUUAAUAAUGUCCAUAUGAUUUGGUAUAUUCUAGCCUCCGGCCCAUGCAUAUUUAAUAUUUUUUUUUUUGUUACUCGUCACUUCAUACUAUAUAGGUGCCCAAAAGAAAACUUUUAUAUUUCCAUAGAUCUCAAUUCUCAACUGUAAUUAUAUAAUUAUCUUUUCUAUUUUCUGAAAGGACAACUGUAAUUAUAUAAUUAUCUUUUAUAUUUUCUGAAAGGAGGGAAAACUUACUAAUUUAUACAACUGAAACAAAUCUUUUGAAAAAAAAAACAAAGAAAAUAUGAAACAAUAUGUAACCAUCUAAAAUUUGAUAUAAAUUUCUAGUAACUUUGAAGUUUUAGAUAAUGUAAACUUUACCUGUUGAAUUUGAAAGAAAAAUUCUAAAAUAAAAUAAAAUCUAUAUCACAUGUAUCAUUUUGAAUCUAUUAUAAUUAAUUCAAAAAAAAUGAUUAAUAAAAAUAAUCGGUCUCACAGGGAUUUGUGGAAGUGGAGAUGCAAUCAUUAUUAGCCAGCUUGGCCCUCAACAACAUCAUCAUGAUGGUAGCCGGGAAACGAUAUUACGGUGUCGGCACAGAAGACAACGCCGAGGCCAAAAUCGUGAGGGCACUUAUAUCGGAGGCGUUGGCUAGCUCCGGUGCAGGAAAUCUAGCUGACUAUCUUCCGAUCGUACGUUGGGUCACAGAUUAUGAAAAACGGGCCAAAAUCUUGGGGAAUCGAUUCGAUGGAUUCUUGCAAAGACUGGUUGAUGAGAAACGUGCAGAGAAAACAAAAGGUCAAACUUUGAUCCAUCACUUGCUUUCUCUCCAAGAAACCCAACCUGAGUAUUAUACUGACGUCAUCAUCAAAGGAAUCAUAAUCGUAAGUACUUUUAUUACUUCAUAUAGUAUAUCUAAUAUAUAUUGAGAGUUUACUAAUGGAUUAAAGAUGCAUGUAUACACAGUCUCUGGUAAUUGCCGGGACAGACACGUCAGCAGUGACGCUAGAGUGGGCAAUGUCGAAUUUGUUGAACCAUCCAGAGAUACUUGAGAAAGCAAGAGCAGAAAUCGAUGAUAAAAUCGGUUUAGACCGGCUAGUUGAGGAAUCAGACAUUGUGAAUCUCCAUUAUCUCCAAAACAUCGUGUCUGAAACGCUGCGUUUGUAUCCCCCGGCUCCGCUGCUACUCCCUCACUUGUCGUCGGAAGAUUGUAUUGUGGCAGGAUACGAUAUGCCACGUGGCACUCUGUUAUUGACAAACGUAUGGGCUAUGCAUAGAGAUCCAAGUUUAUGGGAAGAGCCAGAGGUUUUCAAGCCGGAGAGAUUCGAGAAAGAAGGAGAGUCGCAGAAGCUAAUAUUACCGUUUGGGAUGGGGAGAAGGGCAUGUCCAGGAGCAGAGCUUGGGAAGAAGUUGGUGAGCCUGGCUCUUGGGUGUUUGAUUCAGUGUUUCGAGUGGCAAAGAGUUGGUGAGGAACUUGUGGACAUGACUGAAGACAAAGGGCUCACUAUGCCUAAAGCUACUCCUUUGCGAGCUAUGUGUAUGGCACGUGCUUGUGCCGGUAAAAUGAUAUAAACGUACGUAAGUAUUGUGUUGGUCACACAUUUACUGCAUGCCACAUGUUUAAUCGUAGAGAUACAGUUGAGUUUUGUGGUCAACAAGUUUAGUUGGAUAAGCAAGUUUUUUUUUUUUUUUGAAAAGGUUAGUUGAUUAAUUAAGCUUCUUUGAUGCCGAUAAUUUUUCGUCGGGUUAGAGUUGGUUAUGGGUUUUGUUGACAUGCUUAUGAGAUUCGCAUAGCCCAAUUUAAUUUUUUUUUUUUAAAUAAAGAUAAAGACAAUCUAAGAAAUCCCAAGAUCAUAGGUCGAGCAAAGCUAAAAAAAAUUGGAAUAUACAAGACUUUAUCGAGAACUUCCAAUAAAACUUGUUGGAUUUUGAUUAAAUGAAAAGGGCGUUUAGUGGUUAAGCGUUCAGCUUUGAAAAGACAUAAGUGGUUACUGUAAAAUAUCAUUUUGUUUUUUAUUUAUUAUUUUUGUUCAUACAUUGUUAGAAAACCACAUGAGCAGCCAUGAACUUUGACAUUCUCAUGUAAAAUUGUUUUCAUUUUUUUAACUUUUCUCAAAAUGGUUGUUUACUUGAUUUAAAUAUUUUUUCUUUCGUAGUAAACUCCUACAUAUAUUGCGUGCACGUUAUUCAACAGGACGCUUAUUUUUAUCACUAAAACUAUAUAAUAUAUGCACUAUUUUUAUUAGUUUCAUUUUUGGUUAUUUUACCUUAGAAUAUAUGAGUGUCAAAAUCAGUAUUAAUUAGUGGCCCUUUUUUUCCGUGUAGGCCAGUAUCUAAUAAUUCAUUAAACUAUUUAAUGACGCCAUAGAAACCCAAACACACACACAAAAGUAGAGAAAAGAAGAAGAAAAUUAAAAGUCGUCAUGGAUUAUGUUUUACUUAUCCUUACCAUUCUUAUUACAAUUCUCAUUACCAAGAUUCUUCUCUCACUCUCUAAACCAAACAAAAAUCUCCCACCGUCGCCACGUAUCUGUUUUCCGAUCAUCGGACACCUUCACCUCCUCAAUGACCCGUUGAUUCACCGCACGUUCCGCCGUCUCUCGCACUCCCUCGGUCCUGUCUUCUCUCUCCGCCUCGGC